AUUGAACGCUGGCGGCAUGCUUUACACAUGCAAGUCGAACGGUAACAGGCCUUCGGGUGCUGACGAGUGGCGAACGGGCGAGUAAUGCACCGGAACGUACCCAGAGGUGGGGGAUAACGCAGCGAAAGCUGUGCUAAUACCGCAUGUGAUCUGAGGAUGAAAGCGGGGGACCGAGCAGGAAUGUUUGGCCUCGCGCCUUUGGAGCGGCCGAUGUUGGAUUAGCUAGUUGGUGGGGUAAAGGCCUACGAAGGCGACGAUCCGUAGCCGGUCUGAGAGGACGGCCAGCCACACUGGGACUGAGACACGGCCCAGACUCCUACGGGAGGCAGCAGUGGGGAAUUGUGGACAAUGGGCGCAAGCCUGAUCCAGCAAUGCCGCGUGCGAGAAGAAGGCCUUCGGGUUGUAAACCGCUUUUGGCAGGAACGAAACGGUGUCCGCUAAUACCGAGCGCUAGUGACGGUACCUGCAGAAUAAGCACCGGCUAACUACGUG
rnacentral:rRNA from 1 species